UCCGCAGUAGCUCAGUCGGUAGAGCAAUCGGCUGUUAACCGAUCGGUCGCUGGUUCGAGUCCGGCCUGCGGAGCCA
rnacentral:tRNA from 7 species